UUCAUUUCUUUCCUCACCAAAACAUCUUCCAUCGUUUUGAACCACCAUCUUUCAUUAUCUCGACCUCAAAUCCCUAAAUUAGAGUUUUGAUUCUCGAAUUACACCGUAUAAAGUAUCAAAUCCGAAAAGGAGAGAAGCUGCAAUUAGUUAAAUCUAUUCGGUGUUUUUGGGGUAGAUAAAUUUAUCAAUCGGAGGAUUCAGUUUUGACCCAUGAGUUUAUCGAACCGACUAAUCAAUUCAAUCGCGUUGGAUAUAUAAAUUGAGAAGUUUUGAAAACAGUGCCGAAGAUUAUAACAAUAAUGUGGCAAGUGAGUUCUUGGGAAGCUAUAGUUCUUGGAAAAUCUGGAAUAAUCAGACUCUCUACAGUCAACUCUUUCCAUGGAAGCACUGUAAAAAGGUGGUUUGGUUUGUGAUCAAGAAUAAUAAGAGUAGUAAUAAGGAGGAUCAGUCAGCAGAUCCAAAACUUAGCAGUAAAGGCACAAGAGCGGCAACCAUUGAAGAAGGCUUGAAAGAAUACAGGAAGGAGAAAGUUAAGAAGAUAUGAUGAUUGAACCUUCGAUUAGUAUCAUCAUAUUUAUAGGAAGAUGUCACGAAUUAAGAUUUAGCCCAUAAUAGCCCAUUAUUCAUUUGACGGGAGGCGUUAGUAGGUCCGUCGACAAAGUGAUAAUUCCGUUACAAUAUCCGAUUAAUAAUUUCCGGGUUAUUUUUAAUUUAAAACCCGACCCAUUAUAUUCAAAUGUCUCAUUUAACCUUAAUAAUUGAUCUUCUGUCAAAUUUCGAAAGGGGUAUUUUCGGGCUAAAUUAAAGGUGUACUUCUAUUUUACUAAUAUAGGGAUUCAAAACCAGUGUUCACGUUA